UCUACCAGACGAUAGCUUUAAGAGCAUUUCCAAUUUUCUUGACAUUUCUGGUCAACAUCUUCACGUUGGCAAAGAACCCUUUUUGCCUGUACGGCAUCAACAACCGCCUCCUCCGAUCUCUCUCCUACGCCAUCGUCACUCCUCCUCUGGCCACCGUCGGCUUCACUCUUCCGAAGACGCAGUAGGUUACUGUCGGAACUCCGUCGAGCUCAUCUCUGCCGAAAAUGGGAAAAAUAGGCCUGAUCUCAUCGGCAAAGGUGGGGAACUCAGAAUCGUCAGUCUCGUGGUUUUUACUUCUUAGCUGCUCUUCCAGAUCACUAUUCUGGUUCCGUAGAGAAUCCAUCUCCCGUUCCAGGUUCUUCAUCUUCCGUUGAUCAGUAAUUUUUUUUUCUGACUCCUUUUCGAUUGUUUCUUCCAAUUCUCUGACCCUGUUCUUUGCACCUUGAAACGCAUUUAGAAUUUCAUAAACACAGCUCUCAAAGUAGCCAUAGUCUUCCUCAAUCGUGUUGAGAUUCUCCAUCAGCAACUUCACUUCAUCUCCUUUCUGGAUACGCAGAGAAUCCAGCUCAAGUUCUAAACCCCUUAUUCGAGUUGAUGUUUCACUCUUAUGGGUCUCAUGCAUCUCGGUGUGACUCGCAAGUUCCCUUUCUCUCUCACCCAAUUUCUCCCUCAGCUGGCUACAUUCGGUGACAAGUUCUUAUAAAAGCUUUGAAUUCUCACCCUUCAACGUUCCAGCUUCCAUCUUUAAAUCACUGAUCAUCUUCUCCGCUUCCUUCUUUUUAGUAGUUUUUGUCAACUUCCCUUUCAAGUCAGCCAUUUGAAGUUCUUCCUUAAUGUCAUUCGUCACCUUCUAAAACUCAUUUUGCAAUUUUUCAUUUUUUCUGCCCUUUUCCUUUGAAGAAUAAGCUGAAUCCGAGUCCAAGACGGAGGAAGAAAAAGAAAAAGAAUAAUCUGUAUUCCCAUAUUUUUCAUCCUCAACUAAUGUCUUAUCCACUGACUUCCCGCCGCAGCUGCCAAAAAUGGAUCGAAGAAACCGAGAAAAUUUUGAGGGUUUUUUAAUAAUGGAUCGUGGUGGUUGUUGAGGAAAAACAACUUGCUGAUCCAUUGUAAUUCUUGGGAAAAAAGACAGAAGACAGAGAUGUAAUUCUUGGGAAAAAAGACAGAAGGAAACAGAGAUGUAGAGAUUGUGAGAGGGAGUGGCUUUUAUCGUGAAAGGUAGUUCAUUUUUUUCCAUAUUCUUGAAAGAUAUCUCUCACUAGAUUCAAGACUUGUAAGGGCUGAUCGUUUUAUAGAUGUUGAUUUUGAUAUAUAGUCAUCUUCCAUGAAGCACAGAAGAGGUUCAUUUUACCUUUUUAUACCUGAGUGGAGAGCUGCUCUGCACAUUUAUAUUAAAAUGAGAAUAUUUUUCAACAGAUUGAGUUAGAUGAACUUGAAGGUAUAUCUAAUUUAGCUGCAACAUUGGUAUGGGAUGACUCUUCCCUUUGUACAUUUGAGGAGGCUGUUCAAUCUUAUGAGUUAGCUCUCUAGCAGGUGGAAAGGAUCUUGGGAAUGACACUAUGGAAGUGGUAUCUAUUUCAACCUGAAAGAGAUUUCAUCUUCAUGUUAGUUCUCUGUCAGGCAUUCACAUACUCUGGUAAUUGCCAAUAACAUGGGAUGCUAUUGUGAGUUGGGUGAAAAAGAAGACGGGACCUGGUAUAUACGACCUAUCGACAGUAGAGGAAGCAGAACGUAUAUUGAUUGCUGAACCUAAAGUGGUUUUGGGCUUCCUUGACUCUCUAGUGGUCAAGACUCGAGGAUUGAUUGACCAUUUACGGGAACCACUAACAGGACUGUCUUGAAUUAUUGAACAAUCUCAUUCGUAGCAAUACGUCUAAUCAGGUCUUGCUAAGGGAGACUAUAGGCGUUGACCCUUUGAUAUCAAUUGUGAAGCUUAGAGGAAGCAGUUACAGUUUCAACCAACAGAAGUAGACGAUAAACCUUCUCAGUGCUUCAGAGACCAUCGGUUUGCUAAUAAUGGGAGGUCCAGAAAUUGACACUGGAAAAGAUGCCAAUAGGCUGACCAAUAAAGCAGUCUUGGUUCAGGUUUGUUUCAAAAUAAGUUAUCUGCUAUAAUGAAUACCUGAAAAACCUUAUAAUUUUGUACGAUUUCUCUCACUGGUCUAUGUAUAUUAUUGGUUGUAGAAAAAAAAUUUCGACCAUCUUUUAAUGCUAGGAGUAGAAAGCCAAUGGGCUCCUGUCCCUGUGCAGUGUACAGUAAGAUAACAUUCUUUUUCUUCUUUUGUGUGUGUGGGUGUGUGGGUUUUAAAGAAUACCCUUAUAAUGAGAUAUCAUAAGGAACA